rnacentral:sRNA from 1 species
CCCCUGACACGCGGCGAGCGUGAAGCUGCUGCGGGAAAAGUUCGAAAUUCUCGCAGCAGCUUC